rnacentral:lncRNA from 1 species
AUGGGUGGGAACUACGGUGGCACCAACAUUUGCCGUCCAUCACAGAAUUGGGGUCGUUGCUAUCCCUUGGCUGUUGAAGAGUGGACAUUAACAAGUGACAGUGAGACUGCACAGAGAAUCAGGGGAAAGCAGGGAUUACCAUGGGCAGGAAAGGGCCAUAAGAGGAGAGCGCAGUGGGUGAGAGGCUUGAGGGGUGAGGGACUCUGCAUCCAGUGGCUGAAACCAAACAACAGAGCAGGAAAGGCCAAAGGGGAUGGGAAGCAAUUGGAGGGUUGAAAGAUAUGUACAUGGGUGCUGAGAGGGAAUGGUGGCCUACAGGGAAAGAGGGGGCUCUCAACCUGUCAUCAGGGAGAGCAACGCAAUGGGCAGGGACGCACCCUGCUUUCAGUGGAGGAGAGAUGCAGCAGUGGAGGCAGCGGAGGGACAGAUGAAGAAGUGGGGGUCUGGUGUAAAGUCCCGUGGGCAAUGGCUUGAUUAAAAGGGAGGAGAGAGGAGGCAGAGAGAGUGCAAGACUGAGGUAAAGGGAGCCAAAGGGAAAUGGUCGCUGGGGCCAGUGGGAGGAUCAGGCCAGGGACAGUCCAGGACUUAGGGAGAAGAAUGAGGCAUAGAGGGCAAGGAAAGACCGAGGAGAGCAGGUCACAAGAGGGAGCACCCUCUGUGGAGAAGUGGUGACCCAGUGCAACUUGAUGGGCAUCAGGAACAUUGAGAUGAGAUCAUGGCCCUUCGAGAAGGGCCAGAGAGGGAAAGGGAAGGAAUGGAUCACACGAGGAACAGUCACAGGAGGGGGUGUCCAUGUGGCGGUCUCCGUGCACCACCAAGG